rnacentral:rRNA from 1 species
AGAGUUUGAUCCUGGCUCAGAUUGAACGCUGGCGGCAUGCUUUACACAUGCAAGUCGAACGGCAGCGCGGGGGCAACCCUGGCGGCGAGUGGCGAACGGGUGAGUAAUGCAUCGGAACGUAUCCCGUAAUGGGGGAUAACGUAGCGAAAGUUACGCUAAUACCGCAUACGCUCGAGAGAGGAAAGUGGGGGAUCGCAAGACCUCACGUUAUAGGAGCGGCCGAUGUCCGAUUAGCUUGUUGGUGGGGUAAAGGCCUACCAAGGCGACGAUCGGUAGCUGGUCUGAGAGGAUGAUCAGCCACACUGGGACUGAGACACGGCCCAGACUCCUACGGGAGGCAGCAGUGGGGAAUUUUGGACAAUGGGCGAAAGCCUGAUCCAGCCAUGCCGCGUGCGGGAAGAAGGCCUUCGGGUUGUAAACCGCUUUAGUCCGGGAAAAAGGGGUGCGAGGAUAAUACCCUCGUGCUUUGAUGGUACUGGAAGAAUAAGCACCGGCUAACUACGUG